rnacentral:rRNA from 1 species
CCCUUAGAUGUUCUGGGCCGCACGCGCGCUACACUGUUCGCCGCAGCGAGUCUUAACCUUGACCGAAAGGUUUGGGUAAUCUUCAGCAAAGUCGAACGUGAUGGGGAUCGAUCAUUGCAAUUAUUGAUCGUGAACGAGGAAUUCCUAGUAAGUGCAAGUCAUCAGCUUGCGCUGAUUACGUCCCUGCCCUUUGUACACACCGCCCGUCGCUACUACCGAUUGAAUGGUUUAGUGAGAUCUCUGGAUUGACGCUGGCUAGGGGGCGACCCUUGGCCAGGCUGUCGAGAAACUGCUCAAACUUGAUCAUUUAGAGGAAGUAAAAGUCGUAACA